UACAGAUUGCAAAAGAGAAAAGAAAAGAUUCCAAAGCGGAUUAAUAUCCGUUGCAAAGCUGAUAGAGCAAAACUGAAUGGCUGGGAUUGCUGGCAAUGCGAAAAAUAUUACAAGGCUUUAACCCUAUCUGAAGAGGAAUUGCAAAAGCGAAGAAAUCAAUGUUCGCGGCAUCGGCACAAGUACGAAAGACCGCGAACACCAGAAGGUUUUUGGGAUCCAGAUUUUCCCGAGAUGUCUCCGUCUCCAUAAGACAUUGUGAAAUUUUAUAUAUUGCUAUUAACAAAAAGAUUAACAAGGAUUAACA